GCAUGAGCGCAUUCUGGUUGAGACGUCCAUCACCUCGCUGAUGGCCAGGGUUGAUUCAGUUGAUGUGGCUGGCUGGGUGGGUGCCUGCUUCCUCCCUCACCACUCCACAGGCAUCUUUCCCAAAGCUGCGUGCUCAGCUGAAGAGGACAACCUUCCCUACAGAUGCAGACCGAUCUUCAGUCAAGGGUGCACAGGUAGCUGUGCUCCCCUGCAAGCAGCCUGUUGAGAAUAUGACACGUGCCAGCCCUG
rnacentral:sRNA from 1 species